rnacentral:rRNA from 1 species
UACAGAGGUCUCAACCGUUGUUCGGAUUCAUUGGGCGUAAAGGGUGCGUAGGCGGUCGUGCAAGUCGGAUGUGAAAUCUCAGGGCUCAACCCUGAAACUGCAUUCGAUACUGCGCGGCUAGAGUGCUGGAGGGGAGACUGGAAUUUACGGUGUAGCAGUGAAAUGCGUAGAUAUCGUAAGGAAGACCAGUGGCGAAGGCGAGUCUCUGGACAGCAACUGACGCUGAGGCACGAAGGCCAGGGAAGCAAACGGG